rnacentral:lncRNA from 1 species
AAAUUUAAAGGAUGAUUUCAAUGAAAUUGAAUAAAGUUUAUAGCAGGGAGAGAUUUAUGAAUACUUUAAAACCACUUUAAUCUAUCUUUAAAAAUCUAAAAGUCAAUAAAGUUGAUGACGUUUAUAUUCAGAUUUGGUUGGAUUUUUAAAAUAAUAAAUUUGACAUCUAAUUAAUAUAUUCUAAAAAUUAAUUCUUUUUGUUCAAUAUAAACACAGUAUUAAAUGUUUAUCUUGUUUUAGUUGGCUGUACUACUAAUGGAUAAGAAUAAAAAGAAAGGAGAUAAUCAUUUCCCACAAUUAUUAGCAAAACAACAAGUCUCUAAUAAUUUUAUUUCCACUUUACGUCAAAAUAUAAGUAUCUUACCUUAAAUUGGUAAUCCUAUUCAUACGUUUCUUUGUUUUUAAACACUCACCUUCCUUUCAAAAAAAAAUAUUAAAAAAGAAAAAACAGUUCAUGUUCAUACGUUUCUGUUUCAAACUUUUAUGACAAUUAUUGUUAAUUCAUCGAUCAUGACAUUAUUUAAUCCUUCAUACAAUUAUUACAAAUAAUUAAAGAGGCAAACUUUUGGUUAACCAAAUUUGUAACUCAAUGUUGAGUUCUUGGAAGCUUCUUUUUUUUUUUCUUUUUUUGGGGAGAAAUAAUCAAAGCAAAAUGACUGAGUCAUGCAAUUGCGAAGUAAAUUGCCAAUUUAUGAAGCUACGUAGUACGUACCAACUAUUUUUGACUAAGCUCAAGGGUAAGUGACGAUUACUGAUCUCAUGCCUGUCAUCACUGUUUCAUAAUUUAUCUAUUAAAAUUUUUGUUUUACAAAUUCAAUAAGAAUAAUCACAACGAGUAGAUAACAUAUAAAAACAAAAUAAGAUAGAAUAAUAUGAACCAUAUGAAAUAUAAAAUUAUUAAUGUCGAGUGUAAAAAAAAAAAAGCGAAAUAAAAUUCUAUAUUUAGAAAUAAAUAUAUACAGCGUGAAGGGACUGAAUCCGUUUUAGUUGACAGAGAGAGGUAGGUAACUUCCUUAUUCGUUACAUCCAAAUUCCCAAGAAAUUAAAUCAUUUGAAUAUCAAUUUGAUGUGUGUCAUAUUUUUCUUUCGGAACAAUUUAUGAUGAUUUUAUUUUUAAAGCAAUUUUGACUUCGUGGUGCUGGUUAAUACUGAAAAGUAAGCCAACUAAUUUAUCAAACACGUUAACAGAUGUGAGAGACUUGAAAAACGGACCUUGGUUUUGAAUAGUAAUUAAUCUCAAGCAAAUCUUCCCAAUGCACAAUUAAAUUUAGACGCAAGCAAUAGUGACGGAUGAAGGUAAAGUAAGCAAGUCAUGCAAGCAACGUUAGGAUUUUACGUUACGUGAAAAAAAAAAAUAAUUGUUGGAGACUAAACCCUAAACAAUUCAUUAUUUUAUUAUUUUUGUUGGCAUUGCGAGGCUCCAUUUCCAUUUAUGCGAGUUGCCACUGGGCUUCUAUGUCAAUCCUUCAUUAUGACUUCGGCUCCUGCAACCCAUUAAUUGUCAAUUCGCGUCCCAAGGAACUCAAUUUCUUCCUGCAAAUGGGAAUAAUUUUCAGUGGUAAUUUGGGUUUUUCCGACGAAGUUUUGUUGCGAGUUUAACUUUCUCUCUACUGUGUAGCCUUCUGUAAAAUGAUUCCUUGAUUUUACAAUGAGAGCGUAAUCACAAUAUUUUGUUAAAAAGUGUUAUUUAUAAUGUGUAAUCAAUUGUCUAAUUUUAUAUUAUAUUUCCUUAUUUUGUCAAAAGUGCCCUUUAUUUUCUUUGACCUAUCGUGAAAUAGUAGCUCAUUACUUUAGUAAGGGCCGCUUAAAAUAUUUUUUUGAGAGAUUUAAAAGUAAUUUUAAAAAAUUAAAAGGUAAUUUUAGUGUUCGAGUAAUUUUUUUAAAAAAAUUAUUUUUAAUAAAAUCACUCAUACAACAACAGAUUUUGAAAAAAUAGAGAAUGAAUAGCUUAUCAAAUUUUAAUUUUGAGAAUCACUUUUAUGGGUAAUGCAAUUUCAAAUAAAUCAUAAAAAUCUAAAAUUAUCCUUAUUAAUUAGGAAAUAAAAUCAUUAAUUUCAAAGUGAAUAUUAUUAUUAAUUACAUUAAGAUAACUAAAUAGAAAUAAAAUUAAUAAUAUAAAAUAUUUAUUGUAGUUAUCAAUUAUUUUAUGUACACAAUAGAAAAUAUUUUUUUAUACAUGUUUAAAUAAAUUUUAUUCAAUAUUAUGCCUUAUCUAGACAUUUAAAUUUGUGCAGUAGUUCAACAAUAAAAUUUACUAAACACAUAUUAUUGAUUUUAAAACUCAUAGCACUUUUAAAAUAAAUUUUAUCAAAUGCUUAAUCGAUUCUCUCCACAACUAAUUGUUUAUAUUAGCAAUUAUUUUAAGAGUUACAACAUUACCAAGUUGACCCUGUUCAAACCUCUACUGGCUUCUAGUGACUGAAUAUAUGCGUAAUGCAUAUGAUUCUUUUGAAAAUAAUAAGAAUUGUCUUCUCAUAAGUCUAUUAAUAAGAUACUUAUAGUUCUAUUAAAAAAAUACUUGUAAGUCUAUUAACAAAAUACUAUUAUUUUCUAUUAACAAGAUACUUAAAAGUCUAUUAACAAAAUAAUUUGAAUGCAUCAUUUGACAAUUGUUGGGCUCACCUCGCAACUUUUAAGGCCCUUAAUUUGGAUGGCGAGCGUCUAGUUUUCCCGCGAAAAAUUUUUAGAGACAUUAAUUAAAAUCUACCAAUAACGACAUCGUUUCCAUCAUUUGUGGAGAACUAGCAAGAUUCAUUGCAAUUGACUUGACCAUGUACAAUUAACACAAUCAUCAUGAAGUUCUUUUCUACAAUAAAUUGCUGCUGCUUCAAGCAAAAUUUUAAAAUUAUCAAAUGCUUUUAAUUUUUGAAUUUUUUUAAUAUCGUUGGUUAAUUUUUGAACUUCUAAUAUUGUUAGUUAUAAAUAUUAGCCCUUAACAUUUGCGUGGAAAAUGAAUUGGCUAAGAACUCAAAAUAUUGCAGCAAAUGCUACAUGUACAGAGGUUCUCAAGGUACGUAAUGGGUAUUUAUCUCAAUUAUGCUCAUGAAGAGAGAGCUUUAGUACAAUAUUAGGCGCAAGACUUUCUUUAUUUUCCUUCUACUUUUUUAAUUUAUUUUCAUCUUGGAAAGGUUCUUUUGUUCAGUACUCCCCAUAGAUUUCCCCCCCCUAAUUUCCCCUAUCAUGCAUACUUUUUCCAAGUCCAUUUCAUCUUACAUUAUUCUAAUUCUUCUUGAUCUCAGCUAGCAGUUUGGCAGAAAAAUCAGCCUGCAGUCCAUGAAAUCUGCAAGGACUACAUUAAAAUAGCAUUUACAUUUUGGAUUGGAGUGAGAAUAUUGAAAAGUGCGGAUCAUAAGAUUGGGAGUGUGAAGUGAGAGUGAGAGUAUGUUGUUUACUUACACUGGAAUGGAGAUCAAAAUUCAAUUUAUAUAUUUACUUUGUCUUGGAUUAGGAUUAAACAGUUUUAAAUUACAAUUUUACCAUUAUUUAGAGAAUUAUAAUUUUUAAUUACAAAGUUAAUAAAAAUAUAUUUGAUGAAUAA